rnacentral:rRNA from 1 species
GCUGAGAUCUGAUAGCAAGCUGUACUUGUACAGCGAAGUGGUUGAUGCCAUGCUUCCAGGAAAAGUCUCUAAGCUUCAGUUACACAGGAAUCGUACCCGAAACCGACACAGGUGGUCAGGUCGAGUAGACCAAGGCGCUUGAGAGAACUCUGCUGAAGGAACUAGGCAAAAUGGUACCGUAACUUCGGGAGAAGGUACGCUGUUGUUGGUGAUGGAACUCGCUUCCUGAGCUGACGACAGCCGCAGAAACCAGGCCGCUGCAACUGUUUAUUAAAAACAUAGCACUCUGCAAACACGAAAGUGGACGUAUAGGGUGUGAUGCCUGCCCGGUGCUGGAAGGUUAAUUGAUGGGGUUAGCGUAAGCGAAGCUCUUGAUCGAAGCCCCAGUAAACGGCGGCCGUAACUAUAACGGUCCUAAGGUAGCGAAAUUCCUUGUCGGGUAAGUUCCGACCUGCACGAAUGGCAUAAUGAUGGCGGCGCUGUCUCCAGCAGAGGCUCAGUGAAAUCGAAAUCGCUGUGAAGAUGCAGUGUACCCGCGGCUAGACGGAAAGACCCCGUGAACCUUUACUGCAGCUUGACACUGAACUUUGACCUUACUUGUGUAGGAUAGGUGGGAGGCUUUGAAGCUGGAACGCUAGUUCCAGUGGAGCCGUCCUUGAAAUACCACCCUGGUAAUGUUGAGGUUCUAACUCUGUCCCGUGAUCCGGGACGAGGACCGUGUCUGGUGGGUAGUUUGACUGGGGCGGUCUCCUCCUAAAGAGUAACGGAGGAGUACGAAGGUGCGCUCAGCGUGGUCGGAAAUCACGCGUAGAGUAUAAAGGCAAAAGCGCGCUUAACUGCGAGACCCACAAGUCGAGCAGGUACGAAAGUAGGUCUUAGUGAUCCGGUGGUUCUGUAUGGAAGGGCCAUCGCUCAACGGAUAAAAGGUACUCUGGGGAUAACAGGCUGAUACCGCCCAAGAGUUCAUAUCGACGGCGGUGUUUGGCACCUCGAUGUCGGCUCAUCUCAUCCUGGGGCUGAAGCAGGUCCCAAGGGUAUGGCUGUUCGCCAUUUAAAGAGGUACGCGAGCUGGGUUUAGAACGUCGUGAGACAGUUCGGUCCCUAUCUACCGUGGGCGCUGGAAAUUUGAGAGGAUCUGCUCCUAGUACGAGAGGACCAGAGUGGACGAACCUCUGGUGUACCGGUUGUGACGCCAGUCGCAUCGCCGGGUAGCUAUGUUCGGAAGGGAUAACCGCUGAAAGCAUCUAAGCGGGAAGCCUACCUCAAGAUAAGAUUUC